AGUGAACGCUGGCGGUAGGCCUAACACAUGCAAGUCGAACGGCAGCACAGGAGAGCUUGCUCUCUGGGUGGCGAGUGGCGGACGGGUGAGGAAUACAUCGGAAUCUACUCUGUCGUGGGGGAUAACGUGGGGAAACUUACGCUAAUACCGCAUACGACCUACGGGUGAAAGCAGGGGAUCUUCGGACCUUGCGCGAUUGAAUGAGCCGAUGUCGGACUAGCUAGUUGGCGGGGGAAAGGCCCACCAAGGCGACGAUCCGUAGCUGGUCUGAGAGGGUGAUCCGCAACACUGGAACUGAGAGACGGUCCAGACUCCUACGGGAGGCAGCAGUGGGGAAUAUUGGACAAUGGGCGCAAGCCUGAUUCAGCCAUACCGCGUGGGUGAAGAAGGCCUUCGGGUUGUAAAGCCCUUUUGUUGGGAAAGAAAUCCAGCUGGCUAAUACCCGGUUGGGAUGACGGUACCCAAAGAAUAAGCACCGGCUAACUUCGUGCCAGCCGCCGCCGUAA
rnacentral:rRNA from 1 species